rnacentral:rRNA from 1 species
AUGGUGUUGCAUGAUAUCAAGAACAUGUUGGAAUCAAUGGGGAAAGAUAUAGCAUCAUUCCCUCUUCCCAAGAUCGACGAGUCAUAUGAUACUUCUGGUGGAGAGGUUAGAGAAAUCAUUGAAGAAGCCAUGAUUGAGGUAGACCAUGAGCAUACUUGUCUGGCAUCCUCCCUCAACCCAGAGCAAAGGUCCGCCUUUGAUGAGAUUUUGGGACCUGUCGAUAGUGGCAACGGAGGCAUCUUCUUCGUCGACGGCCCAGGAGGCACAGGUAAGACUUUCUUGUAUUUGCUCACGAGAAUCCGAAGCAAGAGCAAGAUAGUUGUGGCAACCGCAACAUCUAGUGUUGCCGCUUCCAUCAUGCCUGGAGGCAGGACUGCUCAUUCAAGGUUUAAAAUCCCCCUUAACAUUGAAGAAGGUGCGGUAUGCAAAUUUACGAAACAGAGUGGCACGGCCAAGCUACUUCGGAUGACAUCUCUCAUAAUAUGGGACGAAGCGGCAAGCUGUUGA